GACGAACGCUGGCGGCGUGCCUAAUACAUGCAAGUCGAGCGGGGUUAUAUAGAAGCUUGCUUCUACAUAACCUAGCGGCGGACGGGUGAGUAACACGUAGGCAACCUGCCCACAAGACAGGGAUAACUACCGGAAACGGUAGCUAAUACCCGAUACAUCCUUUUCCUGCAUGGGAGAAGGAGGAAAGACGGAGCGAUCUGUAGCUUGUGCAUGGGCCGGCGGCGCAUUAGCUAGUUGGUGGGGUAAAGGCCUACCAAGGCGACGAUGCGUAGCCGACCUGAGAGGGUGAUCGGCACACUGGGACUGAGACACGGCCCAGACUCCUACGGGAGGCAGCAGUAGGGAAUCUUCCGCAAUGGGCGAAAGCCUGACGGAGCAACGCCGCGUGAGUGAUGAAGGUUUUCGGAUCGUAAAGCUCUGUUGCCAGGGAAGAACGUCUUGUAGAGUAACUGCUACAAGAGUGACGGUACCUGAGAAGAAAGCCCCGGCUAACUACGUGCCAGCCGCCGCUGUAACAC
rnacentral:rRNA from 1 species